rnacentral:rRNA from 1 species
CGGACGACGCUGGCGGCGUGCCUAACACAUGCAAGUCGAGCGGAGAUACAUUGAAGAGCAAUCAGAUAUGUAUCUUAGCGGCGGACGGGUGAGUAACGCGUGGGCAACCUGCCUCAUACUGGGGGAUAACACAGGGAAACUUGUGCUAAUACCGCAUAAUAUCAUUAUAGGGCAUCCUGUGAUGAUCAAAGGAGCAAUCCGGUGUGAGAUGGGCCCGCGUCCAAUUAGCUAGUUGGUGGGGUAACGGCCCACCAAGGCGACGAUUGGUAGCCGAACUGAGAGGUUGAUCGGCCACAUUGGGACUGAGACACGGCCCAGACUCCUACGGGAGGCAGCAGUGGGGAAUAUUGCGCAAUGGGGGAAACCCUGACCCAGCAACGCCGCGUGAGGGAAGAAGGUUUUCGGAUUGUAAACCUCUGUCCUUGGUGAAGAAGGAAGUGACGGUAGCCAAGGAGGAAGCCCCGGCUAACUACGUG